UAGGGGUUUACGCUGUGGAUGAGAAGGACCUAUGGCUGGUGCUUGUAGACAUGUUCCCUUCUUUGAGGACCUUCUUAAACAUUUCACUGAAGUUUUAUUAUAAAAUGACUGCAUUGGGAAGACCCUAACGAUAGGGAAGAAACAGAUGAAAGAUCUCCUAUCUUGAGCUGACAUUCUGGUUGAAGAAAAAAAAAAAAACAGUUCCUAUUGAUAUUUUGAUCCAUCAGAACGGCAUCAAGCGCCAGAUUUACUGCACAGCUCUGAAGUUCCUUACAAGGCAAGGAGAAGAUCAAAGAACACUGACCUGUACAUACAGAACUAAAAGGAUAACAGAGAAAUAAAAACAAACGUACUCCAUGGUAUCACCUAUACCGGGAAUCUAAAGAAAAAUCAGCUCGUAGAAACAGGGACAAAAAGUGGCUGCCAAGACCUGGAAGGUGGGAGAAAGGGUGAUAAAGGGCACAAGCUUUCAGCGAUUAGAUGAAUAGGGUCUGAAGUCCUAAUGUAUAACAUGGUGACUACAGUUGCUAACACUACAAAGUACCAUUGAAAUUUGCUAAGACAGUAGAACCUAAACAUGCUCAACAACUUUUUUUUUUUUUUUUUUUUUUUUAAUGUACUACUGAUUUCUGCUUCUUUUUUCUUUUCCUGGUAAGCUGGACCACCCUGGGAUGCAACUAUCCAGGGCUUUAAAGUCCAGUCAUGCAUUUGUACAAAGU
rnacentral:lncRNA from 12 species